CGCUCUAGAACUAGUGGAUCCCCCGGGCUGCAGCCCAAUGUGGAAUUCGCCCUUUGCCCGCCGCGCGCGCCGGGCGGGGCGGGGGCACGGGGGGCCUACGGGAGGCAGCAGUGGGGAAUAUUGCGCAAUGGGCGCAAGCCUGAUGCAGCGACGCCGCGUGAGGGAUGGAGGCCUUCGGGUUGUAAACCUCUUUUGUUUGGGAGCAAGCCUUCGGGUGAGUGUACCUUUCGAAUAAGCGCCGGCUAACUACGUGCCAGCAGCCGCGGUAAUAAGGGCGAAUUCCACAGUGGAUAUCAAGCUUAUCGAUACCGUCGACCUCGAGGGGGGGCCCGG
rnacentral:rRNA from 1 species